UACGGACGGAUGCGAAGCGUUAUCCGGGAUUUAUUGGGUUUAAAGGGUGCGCAGGUUGUUUGAUAAGUCAGUGGUGAAAGUCUGUCGCUUAACGGUAGGAUUGCCAUUGAUACUGUUAGACUUGAAUAUGGAUGAGGUAGGCGGAAUGUGUAGUGUAGCGGUGAAAUGCAUAGAUAUUACACAGAACACCGAUUGCGAAGGCAGCUUACUGAUCCAUCAUUGACGCUGAGGCACGAAAGCGUGGGGAUCAAACA
rnacentral:rRNA from 1 species